rnacentral:lncRNA from 1 species
GAAGAUGAAAUGAGUAAUUCAAGCUUACAAAUGCUCCAAAAUUCUCAAUCAAUAUUUCUCCAGAGUUUUCGCACGUUUUAGAGUUUCUUGAUAGCGCCCAAACGCACACGCAAGUGUACAUGGUCUUAUCAAGUAAUAUAGUAUCUUCAAAGAAGCCUAAGUAUCGAUCUCUUAGGGACUUGCGUUCGUCGUCUAUCUAAUUCU